rnacentral:rRNA from 1 species
UACGUAUGGAGCAAGCGUUAUCCGGAUUUACUGGGUGUAAAGGGAGCGCAGGCGGGAAGCCAAGUCAGCUGUGAAAACUACGGGCUUAACUUGUAGACUGCAGUUGAAACUGGUUUUCUUGAGUGAAGUAGAGGUUGGCGGAAUUCCGAGUGUAGCGGUGAAAUGCGUAGAUAUUCGGAGGAACACCGGUGGCGAAGGCGGCCAACUGGGCUUUAACUGACGCUGAGGCUCGAAAGUGUGGGGAGCAAACAGG